rnacentral:rRNA from 1 species
AGUGAACGCUGGCGGUAGGCCUAACACAUGCAAGUCGAACGGCAGCACAGUAAGAGCUUGCUCUUACGGGUGGCGAGUGGCGGACGGGUGAGGAAUACAUCGGAAUCUACUUUUUCGUGGGGGAUAACGUAGGGAAACUUACGCUAAUACCGCAUACGACCUACGGGUGAAAGCAGGGGAUCUUCGGACCUUGCGCGAUUGAAUGAGCCGAUGUCGGAUUAGCUAGUUGGCGGGGUAAAGGCCCACCAAGGCGACGAUCCGUAGCAGGUCUGAGAGGAUGAUCAGCCACACUGGAACUGAGACACGGUCCAGACUCCUACGGGAGGCAGCAGUGGGGAAUAUUGGACAAUGGGCGCAAGCCUGAUCCAGCCAUACCGCGUGGGUGAAGAAGGCCUUCGGGUUGUAAAGCCCUUUUGUUGGGAAAGAAAAGCAGCAGGUUAAUACCCCGCUGUUCUGACGGUACCCAAAGAAUAAGCACCGGCUAACUUCGUG